rnacentral:rRNA from 1 species
UGCCAGACUCCUACGGGAGGCAGCAGUGGGGAAUAUUGGGCAAUGGGCGCAAGCCUGACCCAGCAACGCCGCGUGAAGGAAGAAGGCUUUCGGGUUGUAAACUUCUUUUCUCAGGGACGAAGCAAGUGACGGUACCUGAGGAAUAAGCCACGGCUAACUACGUGCCAGCAGCCGCGGUAAUACGUAGGUGGCAAGCGUUAUCCGGAUUUACUGGGUGUAAAGGGCGUGUGGGCGGGACUGCAAGUCAGAUGUGAAAUCCUGCGGCUUAACCGCAGAACUGCAUUUGAAACUGUUGAUCUUGAGUACUGGAGAGGCAGACGGAAUUCCUAGUGUAGCGGUGAAAUGCGUAGAUAUUAGGAGGAACACCAGUGGCGAAGGCGGUCUGCUGGACAGCAACUGACGGUGAGGCGCGAAAGCGUGGGGAGCAAACAGGAUUAGAUACCCUGGUA